rnacentral:rRNA from 1 species
AGGCAGAUGGAAUUGGUGGUGUAGGGGUAAAAUCCGUAGAUAUCACCAAGAAUACCCAUUGCGAAGGCGAUCUGCUGGAACUCAACUGACGCUAAGGCGCGAAAGCGUGGGGAGCAAACAGGAUUAGAUACCCUGGUAGUCCACGCCCUAAACGAUGUACACUAGUUGUUGGGGUGCUAGUCAUCUCAGUAAUGCAGCUAACGCAUUAAGUGUACCGCCUGGGGAGUACGGUCGCAAGAUUAAAACUCAAAGGAAUAGACGGGGACCCGCACAAGCGG